AUUGAACGCUGGCGGCAUGCCUUACACAUGCAAGUCGAACGGUAACGCGGGGCAACCUGGCGACGAGUGGCGAACGGGUGAGUAAUAUAUCGGAACGUGCCCAGUAGUGGGGGAUAGCCCGGCGAAAGCCGGAUUAAUACCGCAUGAGACCUGAGGGUGGAAGCGGGGGAUCGCAAGACCUCGCGCUAUUGGAGCGGCCGAUAUCAGAUUAGGUAGUUGGUGGGGUAAAGGCCUACCAAGCCGACGAUCUGUAGCUGGUCUGAGAGGACGACCAGCCACACUGGGACUGAGACACGGCCCAGACUCCUACGGGAGGCAGCAGUGGGGAAUUUUGGACAAUGGGCGCAAGCCUGAUCCAGCCAUGCCGCGUGCGGGAAGAAGGCCUUCGGCUGUAAACCGCUUUGUCAGGGAGAAAUACUUCUGGGUUAAUACCUCGGGAGGAUGACGGUACCGUGAAGAAUAAGCACCGGCUAACUACGUGCCAGCAGCCGCGGUAAAGGUAACUACUA
rnacentral:rRNA from 1 species